ACAAAAUGUAGCUUAAAAUAAAGCAUCUCGCUUACACCGAGGGUACGUCCGUGAAAAUCAGACCGUUUUGA
rnacentral:tRNA from 1 species